rnacentral:rRNA from 1 species
UUAUGGCUCAGGACGAACGCUGGCGGCACGCUUAACACAUGCAAGUCGAACGAGCGAAAGGUGCUUGCACCUCUAGCUAGUGGCGGACGGGUGAGUAACACGUGAGCAAUCUGCCUUUCGGUGGGGGAUACCAAUUGGAAACGAUUGUUAAUACCCCAUAACAUAACGAAGCCGCAUGACUUUGUUAUCAAAGAUUUAUUGCCGGAAGAUGAGCUCGCGUCUGAUUAGGUAGUUGGUGAGGUAACGGCUCACCAAGCCGACGAUCAGUAGCCGGACUGAGAGGUCGAACGGCCACAUUGGGACUGAGACACGGCCCAGACUCCUACGGGAGGCAGCAGUGGGGAAUAUUGCACAAUGGGCGAAAGCCCUGAUGCAGCGAUGCCGCGUGAGGGAAGAAGGUUUUAGGAUUGUAAACCUCUGUCUUUGGGGACGAUAAUGACGGUACCCAAGGAGGAAGCUCCGGCUAACUACGUGCCAGCCGCGGC